rnacentral:rRNA from 1 species
UUCAUAUAAUUCUGCUCAUGAAAUUUAAAUAGCCGCAGACUUCUGUGCUAAGGUAGCAUAAUCAUUUGUUUUUUAAUUAAAAACUAGAAUGAAAGAAUUUACUAUAAAUUUCUAUAAAAUUUUUUAUUAAUUAAUUUAUACUAAAUAUAAAAAUAUAUUUAUAAAAAAAAAAGACGACAAGACCCUAUUGAAUUUUACUUAUGUUUAACUGGGGCAGUUUAUUAAAUAAAAUUUUAAUAAAAUAAAAUAUCCAAUACAAUUGAUUUAAAAAAUUACCAUAGGGAUAACAGCGUUAUAUUCUUCUAAAGUUCUUAUUUAAAAGAAAUUUUGCGACCUCGAUGUUGAAUUAUUUUACUUUAAAAAGCAAAAAUUUUAAAAGUAGGUCUGUUCGACCUUUCAAAAAUUACAUGAUCUGAGUCAAAACCCCGGNGA